rnacentral:rRNA from 1 species
AUUGAACGCUGGCGGCAGGCCUAACACAUGCAAGUCGAACGAGUGGCGGACGGGUGAGUAAUGUCUGGGAAACUGCCCGAUGGAGGGGGAUAACUACUGGAAACGGUAGCUAAUACCGCAUACCAUCGGAUGUGCCCAGAUGGGAUUAGCUAGUAGGGGGGGUAAUGGGUCACCUAGGCGACGAUCCCUAGCUGGUCUGAGAGGAUGACCGGCGACACUUGAGCUGAGACACGGUCCAGGCUCCUACGAGAGGCAGCAGAGGGGAAUAUUGCACAAUGGGCGCGAGCAUGAUGCAGCCAGGCCGAGUGUAUGAAGAAGGCCUUCGGGUUGUAAAGUAGUUUCAGCGAGGAGGCGUUACUCGCAGAAGAAGCACCGGCUAACUCCGUGCCAGCAGCCGCGGUAAUAC